AAGUCGUAACAAGGUAACCGUAGGUGAACCUGCGGUUGGAUCAUUAUUGAAAUAAUAAUCUCCAAUUUUUUGCGGAGUUUUGGGUGUUCCUUUAAAAGAACCCGAUUUCUCCCAAAAUACCCCAAAAAACUUGAUGAAAAACUGUUUUGAUGUCUUUGCCUGUUGGAGUUUUAUCUUCAACAGGCCAUUAUAAACUCCUUUAUUUCCGCUUGUAAGCUUUCUAUUUUUUUUGUAUAAAAAAAGUAAACAACUUUUGACAACGGAUCUCUUGGUUCUC
rnacentral:misc_RNA from 1 species